rnacentral:miRNA from 1 species
UGGAAUCCUCUCUGUUUGCUUGA